AACGAACGCUGGCGGCGCGCCUAAUACAUGCAAGUCGAGCGAGAAGACGUAGCAAUACGUUUGUAAAGCGGCGAACGGGUGAGGAAUACAUGGGUAACCUACCCUCGAGUGGGGAAUAACUAACCGAAAGGUUAGCUAAUACCGCAUACGGCUCCUGGUCUGCGGAUCGGGAGAGAAAGCGAUACUGUGGGUAUCGCGCUCUUGGAUGGGCUCAUGUCCUAUCAGCUUGUUGGUGAGGUAACGGCUCACCAAGGCUUCGACGGGUAGCUGGUCUGAGAGGACGAUCAGCCACACUGGCACUGCGACACGGGCCAGACUCCUACGGGAGGCAGCAGUAAGGAAUAUUGCGCAAUGGGCGACAGCCUGACGCAGCGACGCCGCGUGGGGGAUGAAGGUCUUCGGAUUGUAAACCCCUUUCGGCAGGGAAGAUGGAACGGGUAACCGUUCGGACGGUACCUGCAGAAGCAGCCACGGCUAACUUCGUGCCAGCAGCCGCAGUAAUAC
rnacentral:rRNA from 1 species